GUGAAAUUUAUUUAAAAAAAAUAUUUUAUCUGUUUUUGUAUUUAUUAAUAAUUUAAUUUUAUUGGUGAUAAAUUAUUUGUACUGUGAAGGUUGAUUGAAAUAAAAAUAUUUAUUAUCUAAGUUAAUUUUAUUUAUUGUACCUUGUGUAUCAGGGUUAAUUAAAUGUUUAUUAAAAAUUUUAAUGUUCUCGAUUUUAUAAGAGUUAAUUUAUUAUUUUAGUUAUUAUUUUAUAAAUAUUAAUAAUAGUAAAUUGGCAAUGAUAUGUUAAUCGUUUAUAAGGGUAUCUAGUUUUUUGGGAAAUAAAUUUAAUUUACAUUUUUUCUUUAAUUUUUUUCUUUUUAAUAUAAUUUAAGUUUAAAUGAAUAAUAAGGGGGAUAAGCUCCUUAUUAAAUUUCUAUAAAAUAUAUUUUUUUAUUAAGUUGUGUGGAUUUAAUGGUGAUUAUCAUUAUAAGUGUAUUAAAAUAUUAUUUAUUUAAUACUUAAUUUUGGUGUUUUUAGGUUUGUACUAAAAAAUUUUAGUAAAUUUUUUUUUAAUUUUAAUUAUGAUUAAAUUAGUAUAUUAAUAUAUUUAUAUAAUUUUUUAUUAGUGAGUAAAUUUGAGGAAUUAGGCAAAAGGAAAUUAUUCGCCUGUUUAACAAAAACAUCUUUUCUUGUAUUUGAAUAUGAAGUAUAACCUGCUCAAUGAAUUUUAAAUAGCCGCGGUAUAUUGACCGUGCAAAGGUAGCAUAAUCAUUAGUCUUUUAAUUGUAGGCUGGAAUGAAUGGUUGGACGAAAUAAUAACUAUCUUAGAUUUAUUAAUUUGAAUUUAAUUAUUGUGUUAAAAAGCGCAAAUUUUUUUUUGGGACGAGAAGACCCUAUAGAGUUUAAUAAUUAAUAUAUUUUUUAGUAUUUGAUGCUUUAUUAAUUAUAUAAUAUUAUUUUGUUGGGGUGAUAUAAAGGUAUAAUAAACUCUUUUUAUUUAUUGUUUAUAAUUCAAUAUUUAUUUGAUCCAUUUUUAAUGAUUAAAAGAUUAAAUUACCUUAGGGAUAACAGCGUAAUCUUUUUUGAGAGUUCUUAUUGACAAUAAGGGUUGCGACCUCGAUGUUGGAUUAAGAAUAUUCUUAGGUGCAAAAGCUUAAGAUUUAGGUCUGUUCGACCUUUAAAUUCUUACAUGAUCUGAGUUCAAACCGGUGUAAGCCAGGUUGGUUUCUAUCUAUUAAUAAAUUUAUUGUUUUAGUACGAAAGGACCAGAUAAUAGAAAUAAUUUUUAUUAUUUGAAUAAUAUUAAUAUUUA
rnacentral:rRNA from 1 species